rnacentral:sRNA from 1 species
GCCUAGCCCUGAUAGGAGCGGCAUUUUUUUGUGGUCUCGUUUGUAACGAGACGACAAAAGAUAUAGCGGACAGCAGGAUCAGCU